rnacentral:rRNA from 1 species
GAUGAACGCUGGCGGCGUGCCUAACACAUGCAAGUCGAACGGAGUCCAGCCUUUAAGACCUUCGGGUCAAAGAGGGGAAGCCUGAGUGGCGGACGGGUGAGUAACACGUGGGCAACCUGGCUCAUAGAGGGGGAUAACAGAGAGAAAUUUCUGCUAAUACCGCAUACGCACACACUGCCGCAUGGCAGAGGGUGAUAAGAGAAUUGCUAUGAGAGGGACCCGCGUCUGAUUAGCCAGUUGGCAGGGUAAGAGCCUACCAAAGCGACGAUCAGUAGCCGAGCAGUGAGAAUGGGCGGCGACAUUGGGGCGGAGACGCAGCCGGGACUCCUACGGGAAGCGGCAAUGCGUGAUAGUGCACAAUGGGGGGAGCGCUGAUGCAGCGACGCCGGGUGAGUGAAGAAGUAUGGCGGUAUGUAAUGCGCAAUCAGCAGGGAAGAUAAUGACGGUACCUGAAUAAAAAGCCCCGGCUAACUACGUG